rnacentral:rRNA from 1 species
UACGUAGGGGGCAAGCGUUGUCCGGAAUUAUUGGGCGUAAAGCGCGCGCAGGCGGUCAUUUAAGUCUGGUGUUUAAGGCCAAGGCUCAACCUUGGUUCGCACUGGAAACUGGGUGACUUGAGUGCAGAAGAGGAGAGUGGAAUUCCACGUGUAGCGGUGAAAUGCGUAGAGAUGUGGAGGAACACCAGUGGCGAAGGCGACUCUCUGGGCUGUAACUGACGCUGAGGCGCGAAAGCGUGGGGAGCAAACAGG